rnacentral:rRNA from 1 species
GACGAACGCUGGCGGCGUGCUUAACACAUGCAAGUCGAACGGAAAGGCCCUGCUUUUGUGGGGUGCUCGAGUGGCGAACGGGUGAGUAACACGUGAGUAACCUGCCCUUGACUUUGGGAUAACUUCAGGAAACUGGGGCUAAUACCGGAUAGGAGCUCCUGCUGCAUGGUGGGGGUUGGAAAGUUUCGGCGGUUGGGGAUGGACUCGCGGCUUAUCAGCUUGUUGGUGGGGUAGUGGCUUACCAAGGCUUUGACGGGUAGCCGGCCUGAGAGGGUGACCGGCAACAUUGGGACGGGGAUACGGCCCAGACUCCUACGGGGGCAGCAGUGGGGAAUAUUGCACAAUGGGCGGAAGCCUGAUGCAGCAACGCCGCGUGCGGGAUGACGGCCUUCGGGUUGUAAACCGCUUUCGCCUGUGACGAAGCGUGAGUGACGGUAAUGGGUAAAGAAGCACCGGCUAACUACGUG